rnacentral:rRNA from 1 species
AUACGGAGGGUGCAAGCGUUGUUCGGAAUCACUGGGCGUAAAGCGCGCGCAGGCGGCUAUUUAAGUUGGAUGUGAAAGCCUACGGCUCAACCGUAGAACUGCAUCCAAAACUAUUUAGCUAGAGUGUGGGAGAGGAAGAUGGAAUUAGUUGUGUAGGGGUAAAAUCCGUAGAGAUAACUAGGAAUACCAAAAGCGAAGGCAAUCUUCUGGAACACUACUGACGCUGAGGCGCGAAAGCGUGGGGAGCAAACAGGAUUAGAUACCCUAGUAGUCC